GGCGAACGCUGGCGGCGUGCCUAAUACAUGCAAGUAGAACGCUGAAGGAGGAGCUUGCUCUUCUGGAUGAGUUGCGAACGGGUGAGUAACGCGUAGGUAACCUGCCUGGUAGCGGGGGAUAACUAUUGGAAACGAUAGCUAAUACCGCAUAAGAGUAGAUGUUGCAUGACAUUUGCUUAAAAGGUGCAAUUGCAUCACUACCAGAUGGACCUGCGUUGUAUUAGCUAGUUGGUGGGGUAACGGCUCACCAAGGCGACGAUACAUAGCCGACCUGAGAGGGUGAUCGGCCACACUGGGACUGAGACACGGCCCAGACUCCUACGGGAGGCAGCAGUAGGGAAUCUUCGGCAAUGGACGGAAGUCUGACCGAGCAACGCCGCGUGAGUGAAGAAGGUUUUCGGAUCGUAAAGCUCUGUUGUAAGAGAAGAACGAGUGUGAGAGUGGAAAGUUCACACUGUGACGGUAUCUUACCAGAAAGGGACGGCUAACUACGUG
rnacentral:rRNA from 1 species